CCAGACUCCUACGGGAGGCAGCAGUGAGGAAUAUUGGUCAAUGGCCGGAAGGCUGAACCAGCCAAGUCGCGUGAGGGAAUAAGGCCCUAUGGGUCGUAAACCUCUUUUGUCAGGGAGCAACGGGCGCCACGUGUGGCGCCACUGAGAGUACCCGGAGAAAAAGCAUCGGCUAACUCCGUGCCAGCAGCCGCGGUAAUACGGAGGAUGCGAGCGUUAUCCGGAUUUAUUGGGUUUAAAGGGUGCGUAGGCGGAUCGUUAAGUCAGGGGUAAAAUGGGGGGGCUCACCCCCUUCCCGCCAUUGAAACUGGCGCUCUUGAGUGGAAGAGAAGUAUGCGGAAUGCGUGGUGUAGCGGUGAAAUGCAUAGAUAUCACGCAGAACCCCGAUUGCGAAGGCAGCAUGCCGGCUUCCGACUGACGCUGAAGCACGAAAGCGUGGGGAUCGAACAGGAUUAGAUACCCUCGUAUG
rnacentral:rRNA from 1 species